UUUAUAAUUAUUAAUAAAAAUAAUUUUAUAUAUUAAAGUUUAAGUAUAUUUUAUAGAAAAAAUUUUAUUUAUAAUAGAGAAAUAGUAUUGAGAAAGAAAAUUGAAAUAAAAGUAUAAUUAUUAAAAAGUAAAAUUUAUUUUUUGUACCUUGUGUAUCAGGGUUUAUUAAAUAAAAAUUAAAUAUAUUAAUUUUCUCGAUUUUAAGAGAGCUAAUAAAUUAUUUUUUUUAUUGUUAAAAAAAUAUUUAUAAUAAUUUAUUGGUAAUGAAAUGUUAUUCGUUCUUAAAAAUAUCUAGUUUAUUUAGAAAUGAAUUUAAUUCAAAUAUUUUAAUUUUAAUAAUUUAAUUAGUUAAAUUAUUAAAUUUUAAUAUUAAUAAUUAAAGGGAUUAGCUUUUAAUUAAAAAUUUAUAAAUUAUGAAAUUAUUUUAAAAAAUGUAAGUUUAGAAAUAGCUAUCAUUAAUAAUUUGUUAUAAUUAAUUUAUUUUAAGAAAUUAUUUUAUAUAAUUUUAAGUUUUUUAUAAAUAAAUAAUUUUUAAUAUUUAAGAAUUAGUUAUAAUGAUGGAAUUAGUAUAUAAUUUAUAUAUUUAAAUAAUAUUUAUAGUAAAGUUUAUUUAAAGGAAUUCGGCAAAUAUUUUACUCGCCUGUUUAACAAAAACAUGUCUUUUUGGAAUAUAUAUAAAGUCUAACCUGCCCAAUGAAUAAUUUUAAAUGGCUGCAGUAAUUUGACUGUACAAAGGUAGCAUAAUCAUUAGUUUUUUAAUUAAAAGCUUGUAUGAAAGGUUGGACGAGGUAAAAUCUGUCUCUAUUUAAUUUAUUAUAGAAUUUAAUUUUUAAGUUAAAAAGCUUAAAUUUUUAUAAAAGACGAGAAGACCCUAUAGAGCUUUAUAUUUUAUAAAAUAUAUUUAAUUAAGAUUAAUUUAAUUUUUAUUUUAAAAUUUAUUUUAUUGGGGUAAUAGAAAGAUUAAAAAAAUUCUUUUUGAUUAUAUACAUUAAUUUAUGAUUUUAUGAUCCAUUUAUUAUGAUUGAAAGAUUAAGUUACCUUAGGGAUAACAGCGUAAUUUUUUUAGAGAGUUCAUAUCGAUAAAAAAGUUUGCGACCUCGAUGUUGGAUUAAAGAUUAGUUUAGGUGUAGAAGUUUAAAUUUUUGGUCUGUUCGACCAUUAAAUCUUUACAUGAUCUGAGUUCAGACCGGUGUAAGCCAGGUCGGUUUCUAUCUUUAUUAAAUUAAAAUAUUUUAGUACGAAAGGACCAAAUAUUUAAUAUAUUUAUAUUUAUAAUU
rnacentral:rRNA from 1 species